CUCUCGUAUUUGGCUAGUGGUGGACAGGUCAAUCGUGGCUCUGCUAAACUGACCUGUUGGUCCUCUGAUCUCCCAGACAGGGGACCCAGUCAGCUGUGGGCUGUUUCCAGCAUACAUGCUGGAUUUCCUUCCCGUGGAAACCAUGGUGGAGGAGAACAGGCAAAAGUUGGAGAGAAGCAAGGGCCUGGAGUGUUAUCUCUCAGCUUUCUGCCUUUAGUAUUUCCAUUUACGGUGCCAAUGAAGUGCAUGUAAGAAGAACCUGUAUAGGUCCACUGCUUUGUCUCCGCAAGUACAAAAGGCAGCCAAAAGCAGGGAGAAACGACUCCAUGGAGCUGGACCUUUGCGCUCCUUAUGAGCUGGUUAGCAAGCACCUGCUAUUCACCAGCUUAGGAAACAAGUUGAA